rnacentral:rRNA from 1 species
GACGAACGCUGGCGGCGUGCUUAACACAUGCAAGUCGAACGGAAAGGCCCUGCUUUUGUGGGGUGCUCGAGUGGCGAACGGGUGAGUAACACGUGAGUAACCUGCCCUUGACUUUGGGAUAACUUCAGGAAACUGGGGCUAAUACCGGAUAGGAGCUCCUGCUGCAUGGUGGGGGUUGGAAAGUUUCGGCGGUUGGGGAUGGACUCGCGGCUUAUCAGCUUGUUGGUGGGGUAGUGGCUUACCAAGGCUUUGACGGGUAGCCGGCCUGAGAGGGUGACCGGCAACAUUGGGAAUGAGAUACGGCCCAGACUCCUACGGGAGGCAGCAGUGGGGAAUAUUGAACAAGGGGCGGAAGCCUGAUGCAGCAACGCCGCGUGCGGGAUGACGGCCUUCGGGUUGUAAACCGCUUUCGCCUGUGACGAAGCGUGAGUGACGGUAAUGGGUAAAGAAGCACCGGCUAACUACGUG